rnacentral:rRNA from 1 species
AGGUGGUGCAUGGUUGUCGUCAGCUCGUGUCGUGAGAUGUUGGGUUAAGUCCCGCAACGAGCGCAACCCUCGUUCUAUGUUGCCAGCACGUAAUGGUGGGGACUCAUAGGAGACUGCCGGGGUCAACUCGGAGGAAGGUGGGGAUGAGGUCAAAUCAUCAUGCCCCUUAUGUCUUGGGCUUCACACAUGCUACAAUGGCCGGUACAAAGGGCUGCGAUACCGCGAGGUGGAGCGAAUCCCAAAAAACCGGUCUCAGUUCGGAUUGGGGUCUGCAACUCGACCCCAUGAAGUUGGAGUCGCUAGUAAUCGCAGAUCAGCAACGCUGCGGUGAAUACGUUCCCGGGCCUUGUACACACCGCCUGUCAAGUCACGAAAGUCGGUAACACCGGAAGCCGGUGGCCCAACCUUUGUGGAGGGAGCGUGUGGAAGGUGGGACUGGGGAUUGGGAUU